GGCUCGGUAGCUUAGUUGGUAAAUCACUUGUCUAGCGAAUAAGGGUCAUGAGUUCAUCUUACCUGAGCUG
rnacentral:tRNA from 1 species